CAUUAAAAUGUCUUUAAGGGAAUUUCUUAUAUUCAUCUACGAAAAUGUUUUGGCCUUAAUUUUGGAAUACGAACUAUUUGUUCUGACUAUAAUAAUGAUGUUAGUAGUCAUGGUGACUUUAAGGGAUCUGUUACUAACCUAUAUUCUAAUAACAUUUGGGGCAGAUAACGAAACAAAUUUAAUUACACAAUAAAAGAAAAAAUGAAUAAAAAAUACCCACCUCUUCCUCGCUUAAGUGUAAAGAAGAAUGUUUAACUGAACCAUAGCGUUGUAUGUGACCAGAACCAGAAAGGUCUGUGCGGGAGCGAGCAUAUUCGGGUAUGUUGAUAAGAUAACUUGUAUUUUAGUUAAUCUUCAUCAACUUACUUGAUAUAAAAUAUCUUGUCUAUACAUAGUACCACUUCCGGAUUUUUCUCUAUGGGAUUCCUUUAAUUGUGCCAAAUGAGGUUGACUCAAUGAAACCUUAAUAAUGUCAUCAUUGCUGGUACUUUUGGAAACAACAGAAAUAUCCAUUUUACCAUUAGCCGAACCAUUAAGUUUGGAAUCCUAAAGAAUAAAAUUAAGAGUUGUCAAACUCAUUUAACAAAUAUUUUAAUAUAAUAGACUUACCGAGUUCUUAAAAGUAUGACCCACACUAUUGGAUCUACACAAAGCUCCACCAUUAGCAUCAGUCUUGGGUAAUUGUAAAUAUUGAUCUGCUUGUUUGACAUUUGGCUUUAAAGGUUCCAAUUCAGCUGGUGUGGUAUGACCAUCAAUAAUUUUCUUCUUGUUUUUGGGUUUGGGUGGUUCUAAAGGUCUAAACAUGGCACCAAAUAUGAUACAAUUCAAAACCACACCACCAAUGAUUAGCAAGGCUCCCCGCCAGCCAUACGAACCAAUUAAAUGUUCGGUAAGGGGAGCAAAUACGAAUGUGCCAAAACCAGAACCACAUACGGCAAUACCAGUGGCCAGUGAUCUCUUGGCUUCGAAAUAAGUACUAACACUGACAAUGGCUGGCAGGUAGAUGAGACCAAAACCCAAACCGGUACCCAGACCAAUGGUAAUAAUGAGGAAUGAGGCCAAAAUAGAUCCAGCUAUCGUAACCGCUCUGCAGCCAUAACGAUUUACAAAUGAUGAUGAUAUGGGACCUUUGUUGAUAAAGAAAACAAAAAUAUAUUUAAUAUUAUUUACAAAAGCCUUAACUUAUGCCACAUUUUACUAUACACUUUUAUUAGUUUAUUCGUAAUAUAGUGCCACCGAAAAGUGUGCGUUCAUUUGGAAGAAAAGCUUUUUCUAGUGUUCGAUUCUGAUUUUAUGUAGUUUUAUAAACCAAUAAUGAAGUACAUUCAACUUGUUAAAAUAUUGUUAUUUUUUUUAUAACUUACCCGAAGCAAAUGUUACUCCCACCAUAAUUGAUACAAUCCAUGCUGUGUAACCUUUGCCCUCAUUGAAAUAUGUCAGGAAUUCAUCGUAAAACAGACCAAAGGAAUAUGUCAU